rnacentral:tRNA from 1 species
UUCCAGGGAUGGGAAUCGAACCCACAGUGUUCCGCUUACAGGGCAGAUGCCAUGUCCACUAAGCUACCCUGAA